rnacentral:lncRNA from 1 species
UUUUUAUUAUUAUUAUUAUUUUAUUUAUUUUUUUUUUCCGCCAACUUUUGUUCUUGCGAUAAAUGUUUGUUUCGCAAUAUGUCGCUUAGAUAUUUCUCAUAUUGUAUCGUAUAGUUUAUGCGCUUUUAAAUUUCACCCUGCUAAGACGAACAAUUUUCUCUGUAAGAGUUAUCUCCCUAUUCACUGUUUAUCAUGUGUGUGCAUCUCCUUCGUAACAAAAAAAGAUAGCGACAAAAUUCUUUUUACAAAUUGUUCGUUACAUCCUCAGAAAAUUUUGGCUAAUUUGGAUCGAAGCGAUUCGAUGAAAUUUUAUAGGAGUUAUCUAUCUUUACGGAAUAAAUUUGUCGGUAUGUUUUUUUAACUCAUAAACCGUUAACCGUAUAACCCUGGAAUGUUUUUAUUUGAGUCCCCUGAUUCCUAACUUAGAAAAUUAGGUCAAGGUCAAAGGUCAAGGUCAUAUUUUAGAUUUUCAUAUGUCUUUGAUUUCCCUAUAAUUC